rnacentral:rRNA from 1 species
GAUGAACGCUGGCGGCGUGCUUAAUACAUGCAAGUCGAGCGAUCAGAUAAGCAGCUUGCUCCUUUGACGUUAGCGGCGAACGGGUGAGUAACACGUGGGUAACCUACCUAUAAGACUGGAAUAACUCCGGGAAACCGGGGCUAAUGCCGGAUAACCUUUAGCACCGCAAGGUUGUAACGUGAAAGAUGGUUUUGCUAUCACUUAUAGAGCGACCCGCGCCGUAGUAUCUAGUUGGUAAGGUGACGGCUUACCAAGGCAACGAUACGUAGCCGACCUGAGAGGGUGGUCGGCCACACUGGACCUGAGCCGAGGUCCAGACUCCGACGGGAGGCGGCAGAAGGGAGUCGACCGCAGUGGGCGAAAGCCUGACGGAGCAACGCCGCGUGAGUGAUGAAGUUCUGCGGAUCGUAAAACUCUGUUAUUAGGGAAGAACAAAUGUGUAAGUAACUGUGCACGUCUUGACGGUACCUAAUCAGAAAGCCACGGCUAACUACGUG